rnacentral:sRNA from 1 species
AAUUUUUAGUUACAUUAUAUUAGUUUUAUUUAUAAAAUAUUUAUACAGAACUGCUUACAAUAUUUUCACCAUUCAAACAUUUGUAUUGAACCGCAUGUUGUUUUUCACUAUUCUAAAUUAUCUGCAUUAGUAGAUCCGCUUGAUCCGCACAUAUUCCACAUAUUGCGUUUUUCCUUAAUAAACCGCAGUUAAACCGCACCGCACUAGUAAAUCUGCUUAAUCCGCACUACUCAAUCUGCUGUUUCCAUUCGAAGCCUCAGGAUGUGAAUGUUUACGGCGUUUAGGUGCGGAUCAUUAUAUGUGUCACCAUUUAACACUACUUUUUGUAUUUCAUUUUUAUUUAGAAA